UAGACCAAUGGUGACAACUGGUGGCAUUGAGUUGUGAACAAUGGACACUAUGUGUCUGAAACUGUGAGGUCUAA
ensembl:snoRNA